rnacentral:rRNA from 1 species
CCUACGGGUGGCUGCAGUGAGGAAUAUUGGUCAAUGGACGAGAGUCUGAACCAGCCAAGUAGCGUGAAGGAUGACUGCCCUAUGGGUUGUAAACUUCUUUUAUAUGGGAAUAAAACGUUCCACGUGUGGGAUUUUGUAUGUACCAUAUGAAUAAGGAUCGGCUAACUCCGUGCCAGCAGCCGCGGUAAUACGGAGGAUCCGAGCGUUAUCCGGAUUUAUUGGGUUUAAAGGGAGCGUAGGUGGAUUGUUAAGUCAGUUGUGAAAGUUUGCGGCUCAACCGUAAAAUUGCAGUUGAAACUGGCAGUCUUGAGUACAGUAGAGGUGGGCGGAAUUCGUGGUGUAGCGGUGAAAUGCUUAGAUAGCACGAAGAACUCCGAUUGCGAAGGCAGUUCACUGGACUGCAACUGACACUGAGGCUCGAAAGUGUGGGUAUCAAACAGGAUUAGAUACCCUUGUAGUC